rnacentral:rRNA from 1 species
UACGUAGGGGGCGAGCGUUGUUCGGAUUUACUGGGCGUAAAGGGCGCGCAGGCGGCUUUGUUUGUCAGGCGUGAAAGCCCCGGGCUUAACCUGGGAACUGCGUUUGAUACGGCAGGGCUAGAGUUCGGGAGAGGAGAGUGGAAUUCCCAGUGUAGAGGUGAAAUUCGUAGAUAUUGGGAAGAACACCGGUGGCGAAGGCGGCUCUCUGGACCGAUACUGACGCUGAGGCGCGAAAGCGUGGGGAGCAAACAGG